rnacentral:rRNA from 1 species
AGAGUUUGAUCAUGGCUCAGGACGAACGCUGGCGGCGUGCUUAACACAUGCAAGUCGAACGGAAAGGCCCUUCGGGGUACUCGAGUGGCGAACGGGUGAGUAACACGUGGGUGAUCUGCCCUGCACUUUGGGAUAAGCCUGGGAAACUGGGUCUAAUACCGAAUAGGACCGCAUGCUUCAUGGUGUGUGGUGGAAAGCUUUUGCGGUGUGGGAUGGGCCCGCGGCCUAUCAGCUUGUUGGUGGGGUAAUGGCCUACCAAGGCGACGACGGGUAGCCGGCCUGAGAGGGUGUCCGGCCACACUGGGACUGAGAUACGGCCCAGACUCCUACGGGAGGCAGCAGUGGGGAAUAUUGCACAAUGGGCGCAAGCCUGAUGCAGCGACGCCGCGUGGGGGAUGACGGCCUUCGGGUUGUAAACCUCUUUCAGUAUCGGCGAAGCUCCAGGAUUUUUCUUGGGGUGACGGUAGGUACAGAAGAAGCACCGGCCAACUACGUGCCAGCAGCCGCGGUAAUACGUAGGGUGCGAGCGUUGUCCGGAAUUACUGGGCGUAAAGAGCUCGUAGGUGGUUUGUCACGUUGUCCGUGAAAACUCACAGCUUAACUGUGGGCGUGCGGGCGAUACGGGCAGACUGGAGUACUGUAGGGGAGACUGGAAUUCCUGGUGUAGCGGUGGAAUGCGCAGAUAUCAGGAGGAACACCGGUGGCGAAGGCGGGUCUCUGGGCAGCAACUGACGCUGAGGAGCGAAAGCGUGGGGAGCGAACAGGAUUAGAUACCCUGGUAGUCCAA